rnacentral:lncRNA from 1 species
GAAGAAGAGGAGGAGGAAGGAGAACCAGAAGAUGCAGAGCUAGGGGAUGAGAUGACUGAUGUGUGAUUUGUUCUGUCCAGCAGUGGCCCUGCCCCAGAUCCUGCUGGGAUAGGAGGUCCUUCCCCAAGACAAGAGGCUUGGAAGGAACCCCCCCCCCCCCCCCGCCCCGACUCCCAUUGCCUGCUUUCCCCCUUCCAGUGCUCGCUGCCUGAGGGUAGGACAGAGACUGGACCCCAUGUCCCCCACUAGACCUCAUGCCCUGAACACUGCUGCUGAGUUGGCUCAGGCCCCUUGCUGUCACUGAGCCUUCCAGAACCGGCCUCCCCCGAGGUCACUCCACUGUAGAUGUGAGGGGCUGGAACCAGGGUCAGGCCCUAACAGUGUCUCUUCUCCUUGGCCCCUUGGUCUAUACUCAUCCACUCACCUGAGGCUUUUUCCCUCUCAAUUGGCUAUUAUUUUGAGGGGGUAAAAAGUGGUAAAUGAGCACAGAUGAUGUCACUGAAAUGGAAAGAGGAGGUACCCCACUGUCCUUGCUCCACCUGCCACAGCUAUAGUUGAUAAGACAAUGGUUUGCUCGCUAGCCCAAUAGGGUAAGGCAAGGGUCUGGACCUCUAGAGCAUUUUCCCUGAGGCCCACUCCCAGGGAACACUGGGAAUCUGCUACCCCUGCCCCUCACACACACAUACCCUUCCCACUGUUUGGAUAUCAGGGGAAGUGGAGAUUAACUCCUUUCCAGACCCCAGAAUCUCUGUACCUCGUGCCUUUCCUCUCAUGCCCUGGCACAGUGCUGGCCCCAUGGGGUAUGGGGAAAGCCUCUGCCUUCCUUAGGAGGGGUGCAUGGAUGAUCAUCACCCUUUCCCGCUGAGGACUCUAGCAGUAUGGCUGACAGGUCUAUGUUCCUUAAUUUAGAAUGUUCUAGUCUUCCCUGGGGCCAGUUAAAAUGGGUCAGUGAAGGGCUCUCCUGGCCUCAGUCUCCAUCUUUAGGAUCUCUACAGAAGAACAUUGAAGUCUUCCAGAAAUGUAGAGGAGCUAGGUUAGAUGCUCAGAGAUUAGCUGACUGUCCCCUCCUUUUCCCAGAUGAGCACUCUCACUUUUGGGUAAGGUGCUGGAGGAAUUACAUCCAUCAUUCCCAAUUCCUUCCUGCCUACCUUCUGUGAGGUCCUGUCAUAUCCCCCAGCUGAGGGAUCUCAGGGAGGGCAGGUUCCACCCAUAGGACAUUUAUUGAUUGGAUCAUGGAGUUAGGUUGAACCUGCCUGUCUGGCCCCCUCACCUAUUGGGUUCUUACUCCUUCAGAGCAGCCAGCAACCCUUUCCCACCCUGCCUGCCCACUGUCCUCAAUAAAACAUGAGUGGUGACAGGCCUCUACAGGAAUGCUUUGUAGAUACUAGCUGAGAAUAGCUUGCUGAAUAAAUGUAGAUGGGUGCCUAGAGGCUCAGGUUAAACUAGAUGGGGGCAGAUAGGGAGCUGCAUCUCUGGUCUCAGCAACCUAUUGUACAAAUAUUUCUAAAGUCAGAACAUGGGACCCCUAAGGUCCAAUCUUGAUCCCUAGCACUAGGCUACAAGAUGAGUCUUCUUCCCAGGGGGCUGAAUUUCACCUCCUUGGGGUUUCUUGAGCUCUUGAACAUAAAGCUGUGUUGGGAUCCAAGACUAGCAGUCUGAGUGCUGGACCUUGGGCAAGUCCUUGUCUUCUCUGGGCCUUAAUUGCAUCCCCUCAAAAUGAUUGUAUGGUCCAGGUAUGGUGGCACAUGCCUAUUAUUCCAGCUACUCAGGAGGCUGAG